rnacentral:rRNA from 1 species
UACAGAGGGGGCAAGCGUUAUUCGGAAUUAUUGGGCGUAAAGGGCGCGUAGGCGGCCUGACAAGUGGAAGGUGAAAUCCCUCGGCUUAACCGAGGAACUGCCCUCCAAACUGUCUGGCUUGAGACCGGGAGAGGUGAGUGGAAUUCCCAGUGUAGCGGUGAAAUGCGUAGAUAUUGGGAGGAACACCAGUGGCGAAGGCGGCUCACUGGACCGGUACUGACGCUGAGGCGCGAAAGCGUGGGGAGCGAACAGG